UGACAACCGUCAAUUUUCGGUCAAGUCAAAGUCAACAAAAGUCAACAAGUCAAACCGGUCAACCCGAUUUGCCGUGAGUACUAGAGUUUACGUUAAGUAACUUCUAAACAACUCUCUAUUCUAAUGAGAGAUCAUAAAUCGAAAAGUGCGUUCACCUAAAUCUCCUUAACCUAAAACGGUGGUACGUAGAAAGCCAAACCGAUACAACAAUGUUACAUACUCAUCGGGAGUAUGCAAGAUCCCUAAUCAAGGCUUAACUGGGUUUAAGGACCUUGCAGUGCGUAGCCGGACACUCAAAAAGGUCACCAGUGAAACCUCUCUCACAUAUCUCUAAGUAUGUGAAACCUCUCCCACAUAUCUCUAAGUAUGUGAAACCUCUCCCACAUAUCUCUAAGUAUGUGAAAUCUCUCCCAAAUCUCUCUAAGUAUGUGAAAUCUCUCUCACAUAUCUCUUUGUAUGUGAAAUCUCUCCAAGUAUGUCAAAUCUCUCCCAAAUCUC
rnacentral:lncRNA from 1 species